CUCCCCCCCCAGGGGCCCAGGUAUCAUAUACACCGCCAAAAUAAAGAGCCUUGAGUACUAGAAGAAAAGCACCUAGACCUAACAAAAUUAAGCGAGGUUCAA
rnacentral:ncRNA from 1 species